AUACGUAGGUGACAAGCGUUAUCCGGAUUUACUGGGCGUAAAGGGCGUGUAGGCGGUCUUGCAAGUCAGAAGUGAAAUUCCUGAGCUCAACUCGGGCGCUGCUUCUGAAACUGCAGGACUUGAGUGCUGGAGGGGAUAGCGGAAUUCCUAGUGGAGCGGUAAAAUGCGCAGAUAUUAUGAAGAACACCGGUGGCGAAGGCGGCUAUCUGGGCAGUAACUGGCGCUGAGCGGCGAAAGCGUGGGGAGCAAACAGGGUUAGAUCCCCGGGUAGUCCAUGCCGUAAACGAUGAAUACUAGGUGUAGGGGGUAUCGACUCCCUCUGCGCCGCAGUUAACACAAUAAGUAUUCCGCCUGGGGAGUACUGCCGCAAGGUUGAAACUCAAAUGAAUUGACGGGG
rnacentral:rRNA from 1 species